rnacentral:rRNA from 13 species
CAAAAUUUUUCCUUUGUAAAAAGAUAAAUUUGCUUAAAAUUAGGUAGUUGGUAAUUUUUAAUCGCUUACCAAGCCUUUGAUUUUUAAUUGGUUUUUGUAAACGAUCAAUCACACUGGAACUGAAACAAGGUCCAGGUUUUUUAAACCAGCAGUGGGGAAUAUUAAACAAUGAACUGAGGUUUGAUUUAGCGAAAUUACGUAAAUUAUGACGGCUUCUAGUUGAAAAAUUUGGUUUUUAAGAUUAACAUAAUGACUUCUUAAAAAUUUAGUUCUGUCAAAUACUCGUGCCAGCAGUCGCGGUAAAACGGGAAGAGCAAGCGUUAUUUAGUAAAAUGGUGCUAAGUGUCAAUAGAUCGUAAAGUUUGUUUUAAAUCAAAUUUCUUAAAUCUACUUUUAAAACAGUUUAAAACACUGCUUUACUUUGAGUUUUUUGCGGAAAAAUGGAAUUUUGUAAGGAAAGGUAAAAUUUUUAGAUAUGCAAAGGAACACCUAUAGUGAAAACAAUUUUUUAGCAAAAACUGACUUUGAAUGACGAAAGUUCAGGUAGCAAACAGGAUUUGAUACCCUGGUAGUCUGUACUGUAAAUUAUAAAUGCUGAUAUUUAAAUUUUAUUUUUAGAUAUUUAAGUUUGCGCAAUAAGCAUUUCACCUGAGAAGUAUUUUUAAAGCACUGAAACUCAAAGGAACUGACGGGGGCUGAUACUAGUGGUGGAGCAUGUGGUUUAAUGCGAUAACCCGCGCAAAAUCUUACCAAUUUUUGACAUAAUUUUAUUUAAAAAAUUUAAAUUUUUUACAGGUGCUGCACGGCUGUCGUAAGCUCGUGUCUUGAGAUGUUUGGUUUAUUCCUUUAACGUGCGAAACUCUUAUUUUAAAAAUUAUAUUUAAAUUUAUUUUAUAAGCAAAUUUAUUUAUUAAGGUUGUUUAUAAAAAUAAAUUUCUUUUUUUUUAAUAUUGAUUAAUUAUAAAUUAAAUGAAAUAAGAAUAAAGACAAGUCAUUGUGACCCUAAUAAAUUGGGCUACUUUCAUGUGCUACAAUGAUAAUUACAAUGAAUUUUAAAUUAAUUUCAAAAAAAUUUUCUUAGUUCGGAUUACAGACUGUAACUCGUUUGUAUAAAGCUGGAAUCACUAGUAAUCGCAAAUUAGAAUUUGUUGCGGUGAAAAGUUAUUUGCCUUGUACACACCGCCCGUCACAUGCAAAAAAUUAGUUUUGUUUGAAAC